UACGAAGGGGGCUAGCGUUGUUCGGAAUUACUGGGCGUAAAGCGCACGUAGGCGGCUCAUUAAGUCAGGGGUGAAAUCCCGGGGCUCAACCUCGGAAUUGCCUCUGAUACUGGUGAGCUUGAGUCCGAGAGAGGUGAGUGGAACUCCGAGUGUAGAGGUGAAAUUCGUAGAUAUUCGGAAGAACACCAGUGGCGAAGGCGGCUCACUGGCUCGGUACCGACGCUGAGGUGCGAAAGCGUGGGGAGCAAACAGG
rnacentral:rRNA from 1 species